rnacentral:rRNA from 1 species
GUUAUCGUUUAUUUGAUAGUACCUUACUACUUGGAUAACCGUGGUAAUUCUAGAGCUAAUACAUGCUAAAAACCUCGACUUCGGAAGGGGUGUAUUUAUUAGAUAAAAAACCAAUGCCCUUCGGGGCUCCUUGGUGAUUCAUAAUAACUUAACGAAUCGCAUGGCCUUGUGCCGGCGAUGGUUCAUUCAAAUUUCUGCCCUAUCAACUUUCGAUGGUAGGAUAGUGGCCUACCAUGGUUUCAACGGGUAACGGGGAAUUAGGGUUCUAUUCCGGAGAGGGAGCCUGAGAAACGGCUACCACAUCCAAGGAAGGCAGCAGGCGCGCAAAUUACCCAAUCCCGACACGGGGAGGUAGUGACAAUAAAUACUGAUACAGGGCUCUUUUGGGUCUUGUAAUUGGAAUGAGUACAAUUUAAAUCCCUUAACGUUAGGGGAUUGACAACGAGUCGCGUUCUGCGGCGACACCUCCACUCUUCGAGGACCGUCAUCUGACGGAAUUCGAGGCAUAGCAAUCCGCUGUGUUAAGAGACCAGAUGGAGGUGGGCAACAGCUGUUGUUUUAGGUAUGGCCCAAUCCUGUGAGCAAUCACUGGUAGCAAUGUAACGAGGAACAAUUGGAGGGCAAGUCUGGUGCCAGCAGCCGCGGUAAUUCCAGCUCCAAUAGCGUAUAUUAAAGUUGUUGCAGUUAAAAAGCUCGUAGUUGAACCUUGGGCCUGGCUGGCCGGUCCGCCUCACCGCGUGCACUGGUCCGGCCGGGCCUUUCCUUCUGGGGAACCGCAUGCCCUUCACUGGGUGUGUCGGGGAAUCAGGACUUUUACUUUGAAAAAAUUAGAGUGUUCAAAGCAGGCCUAUGCUCGAAUACAUUAGCAUGGAAUAAUAGAAUAGGACGUGUGGUUCUAUUUUGUUGGUUUCUAGGACCGCCGUAAUGAUUAAUAGGGAUAGUCGGGGGCAUCAGUAUUCAAUUGUCAGAGGUGAAAUUCUUGGAUUUAUUGAAGACUAACUACUGCGAAAGCAUUUGCCAAGGAUGUUUUCAUUAAUCAGUGAACGAAAGUUAGGGGAUCGAAGACGAUCAGAUACCGUCGUAGUCUUAACCAUAAACUAUGCCGACUAGGGAUCGGGCGA